UACGUAGGGGGCUAGCGUUGUCCGGAAUCAUUGGGCGUAAAGAGCGCGUAGGCGGCCCGGUAAGUCCGCUGUAAAAGUCAAAGGCUCAACCUUUGAAGGUCAGUGGAUACUGCCGGGCUAGAGUCCGGAAGAGGCGAGUGGAACUCCUGGUGUAGCGGUGGAAUGCGCAGAUAUCAGGAGGAACACCGAUGGCGAAGGCAGGUCACUGGGCCGCAACUGACGCUGAGGAGCGAAAGCAUGGGGAGCGAACAGG
rnacentral:rRNA from 1 species